GUGAAUCAUCAAAUUUUUGAACGCAUAUUGCACUCUCUGGUAUUCCGGAGAGUAUGCCUGUUUGAGGGUCAUUUGAAAUCAUAUAAAUUCUAAGAUUUUUUGGAAUUUAAAAUGGGUUGUCCAUUUUUUGUGGUCGCCUAAAAUUUAAGUGAAGUACAUUUUCUUGGGUUGCGUGAUACUUUUGGCUACCUCGUGAUUUAAUCAGGAAUCAUCGGGCGCGUUAUGAAUU
rnacentral:misc_RNA from 1 species